rnacentral:rRNA from 1 species
AGAGCGAACGCUGGCGGCAGGCCUAACACAUGCAAGUCGAGCGCUCGUAGCAAUACGAGAGCGGCAGACGGGAGAGUAACACGUGGGAACGUACCCUUUGGUUCGGAACAACACAGGGAAACUUGUGCUAAUACCGAAUAAGCCCUUACGGGGAAAGAUUUAUCGCCAAAGGAUCGGCCCGCGUCUGAUUAGCUAGUUGGUGGGGUAAUGGCUCACCAAGGCGACGAUCAGUAGCUGGUCUGAGAGGAUGACCAGCCUCAUUGGGACUGAGACACGGCCCAAACUCCUACGGGAGGCAGCAGUGGGAAUAUUGGACAAUGGGCGCAAGCCUGAUCCAGCCAUGCCGCGUGGAUGAUGAAGGCCUUAGGGUUGUAAAGUCCUUUUAACGGGGAGAUAAUGACGGUACCGUAGAAUAAGCCCGGCUAACUUCGCGCUAGCAGCCGC